rnacentral:rRNA from 1 species
CCCUUAGAUGUUCUGGGCUGCACGCGCGCUACACUGAUGCGAUCAACAAGUUUUUCCUAUGUCGAUAGACACGGGUAAUCUUUUGAACUCGCAUCGUGAUGGGGAUAGAUUAUUGUAAUUAUUAAUCUUCAACGAGGAAUUCCUAGUAGGUGCAAAUCAUCAGUUUGCAUCGAUUACGUCCCUGCCCUUUGUACACACCGCCCGUCGCUGCUACCGAUUGGUUGAUCUGGUGAAUUAUUCGGACUGCCGGCUGAAGGGGUUUCCUCAUCUGCCAGCGGAAAGCCUUGUUAACCCUAUCAACUAGAGGAAGCAGAAGUCGUAACA